ensembl:lncRNA
CAACAUAAUUAUUUUCGAACCUUUAGCCUUGGCACUUGAGGAUAUCACUUCCUCCAGAAGCGUGCAACGGGUGGCAUAACCCCCCCUGGCAAACAGCACAGCAGCAAGCAGGAUGAGCCAACCCAGGAGAGACAGACCAAAGCCUGCCAGACCCAAAUGAUCCACAAGAGCCAGUCCUGAACAUAACACAUCAAAUACAAAGAUAGUUAAAAUGAACCGAGGUCGGAGGUGAACACACAAUUAGCAGUGGCAACAUUAGCGAUAAUAAGCAAGGGAACUCAAUUCUAAAUGUCAUCCAACAAAAAACCUGUAGAUUCUCUUCAGGAUUUUGUGAACUAAAACUUGCACAGACUAAAUAAAUUGUAUACACGAUGUCACAAAUAAAUACAAUGCAAAACCUAAAACCUACCCGUCUUUGGCACGGCCAAAACCUGAAUCAGGAAUGAUGAGCUGUUAACCGUUUGAUUGAUCCCCAUCUCUAGGCUCUGAGCCAUGCAGUGGUAGUAACCGCUGUCCUCUGGCCUGGAGAUGACCACAUCCCUCCCGUGGUACAUCACGUUAAUUUCCAAUCUGUUCAGAGGUGUCAUGUGCCAGGACCAGUUGACAGCGAGUGAAGAGGUGGGGGCAUGACAAUUCAGCACCACGGGUUGACCCUCCAUGACAACGAGGUGGGAGGGAGUGGCCGACACCUCCAACUUCGCCAAUCGCUCUGAAGCGGGCGGAGAAAAGACACAAGAAGAGUAAUAUAAGAGACCAACGCAGCAUCUUGGUACGAUGGUCAACUGAACUCCUGAUUGCCACUGUCUUCUCAUCAGGUAAGAGUGGCAGGUUUGUGUUAUCAUCCUGAAUGAGGGAGGAAGUACCAGGUUCCCCUUCAAAUGUGUGACUGACUGUACCGCAGUGAAUGUCAACACAAUAAGUUGGUAAGUUGUGAGGGCAACAAGGUUAAAUCAAGCCAAGGCCAUAUUUUCAUUUCAUCCUGCACUAUGCACUAUUUACCCUCAGACUGCUCCCAGUCAGAUUUGUACCCUCUGACAGUUCGACCCAAACCCCUUUCCCAGAGGAAAAGCCGCCCCCUGGCCAAUACUGGCCAGUGACAGGUUACUGCAGCGUUUCUGCUUGCGUCACUGCAAUCAGCCUUGAUUGUUUUGUUCUGCUAUCAAAUAAAGAUGUUUCCGCACUGUGCACAUGCAAAUCAUCAGCUUUCAUACACAUACAUCAGCACCACUGCUGGAAAGAUCUUAGGGGAAACAAAAGUCACAGCAGGCUCAGAAGGAUUCUUACCCAAAUUUACUGCAUCAUUACCUGCACCAUGCCGAUUUGUCCAAGAACUAUUUCUUGUUGACCUCAAAACAGUCAUCUGUUUGUUUUCUGGGCAGAUGAUCGGUACCACAGAAGUACUUUAUUAGGAAAGGUUGCAUCUUAGGCAGAUGAUUCAACAAUUCCAGAGACAACUGUGACAAAGUGUUCCCUUUUCUUUCUUUAGUAGUAAGUCUAUAUGCUAUACUAACAACAUUAUUAGAUAGUGAAAGCACAGGAGUCACACAAGGGGUAUAAACAACACGCUUAUUCCUCACCAGGAGAUCAAUAGAUGAAAAAAAUAAUGGAAUAAAAUAAGGAAAGGGAAAAUGGGACAGAGAAUUACUGAUUACCAAAUAUGAUGGGGAUGGUCAUAUAAUGCAAAACGAUUUGAGAUUGAGUCCCACAAUGGAAAAAUCA